UAUAAUUCAUGUCCUGCUGCAUCUCAUUUGUAAAGGCACAUUGACCAUUAAUAUGGUCACCACCGCAUAAAUCGCAAAGUUGUUGAGCCUGAGAAAUAUUUCUAAGUCCCCGAGGAAGUUCGGAGAUGAUCUUUGUCAACUUGUCCAAUUUCUGGCUGAGGAGGUGAUUCUGUGCGGCUGCAGCGUCUUCAAUGGGAAGAUGUAGGAGUCCUCCUUUUUGCAUGCCCC
rnacentral:lncRNA from 1 species